CACCAUAAAUCCACCCAAAAAUCUGUCCACAAGCUUCAUGCCGCAAGCAAGGGAAAGGAGGAAUCUUGGAUGCACUUGCUACCAAGUUGGAGCAUUUUAGGUGUUUUCUUUCCUUUGAUUUUAAUGUCUAAUUUUAUGUAUCUUUGUAUUGCAAGAAUGAGGAACUAAACCCCCUUAGUUGGGGGGUGAUUCGAAACCAUGUACAUGCUUGCAAUAUGAUUUGAUUACAU
rnacentral:lncRNA from 1 species